AAGCAGACAAGCAGGCAAUGGAGACUCAAUAAAAAGCCACUUUGUAUGACACAUGCACUGCUUACAUUUAACGCUGGCAAUGGUAUGAAGGGGCAUUGCAGAUAGGAAAAUGAAUACUUAAUCUGUAGUGGAGAUGAAGCGUAUAAAGUAUUUGAUUCGAGCCUCGAACACCUUCGGCAUGGAUGCGAUCAGUGCCAAUAUAACGCAUGGAUAUUUAUCGGAACGUAGAGCCAUCACUUCGUUGGCGCG